GGAUGUGAAGGUGAUCUGGCUGGGACUUCUGUCACCCCUCUGAUGGCCAGGGUUGAUUCCGCUGAUCUGGCUGACUAGG
rnacentral:snRNA from 1 species